rnacentral:lncRNA from 1 species
AGAGCCUCAGUCUCCCGUGAGCAGAGGGUGUGUGUGUGGCUGCCACUAUUCUGCAGACACGCUGGCUCCACCCCAGAGAGUUGCAGGGCCAGGAAAUCUGCAUUUAAACAGACCCUGGCUCUCACACUUCGGAAACUGCCCGAAGCACCUCUCAAAUAUGGGACAGGUGCUUAGGCCGAAAAUCAGGAAUCUCUUGAAUGAAUGCAUGAAGGUGGAGCCCUUUCCCUUAAUGCGCAGGUGAAAAGGGCACCUCGGUGGAUUCUACUAAAUUUAAUAGAAGACCCAAGACGGGGUGGGGGAGACGUGCUUUGUGCUCACCUGGCUGGUUCAUGGGCAGGUGGCCUGGAGGACCCAGCCCUGGCAGCUGUGGGGUAGCUCCAGCCUGGGCCGGACAGCUUCUUUCAUCGCAGGCACCACUGCGGACAUUG